UAUAACGACUCUCGGCAACGGAUAUCUCGGCUCUCGCAUCGAUGAAGAACGUAGCGAAAUGCGAUACUUGGUGUGAAUUGCAGAAUCCCGUGAACCAUCGAGUCUUUGAACGCAAGUUGCGCCCGAAGCCAUCCGGUCGAGGGCACGUCUGCCUGGGCGUCACACACU
rnacentral:rRNA from 1 species